rnacentral:rRNA from 1 species
UACGGAGGGUGCGAGCGUUGUCCGGAAUCACUGGGCGUAAAGGGCGCGUAGGCGGCAUGCCAAGCGUGUGGUGAAAGCCCGGCGCUCAACGCCGGGUCGGCCGUGGAUACUCUCGGGCUCGAGCUCACUAGAGGCAGAUGGAAUUCCGGGUGUAGCGGUGGAAUGCGUAGAGAUCCGGAAGAACACCGGUGGCGAAGGCGGUCUGCUGGGGUGAUGCUGACACUGAUGCGCGACAGCAUGGGGAGCAAACAGG